ensembl:misc_RNA Metazoa_SRP Metazoan signal recognition particle RNA
GCUGGGUGUGGUGGUGGACACCUGUAAUCCCAGCUACUUGGGAGGCUGAGGCAGGAGAAUUGCUUGUACCUGGGAGGCGGAGGUUGCAGUGAGCAGAGAUUGUGCCACUGCACUCCAGCCUGGGUAACAGAGUGGUACUCUGUCUCAA